UCUCACUCUUCACACACUCUUUAUCUCUGUAUAUUUUCUUCUGAUUCCCACUCUUCGAGAACUUUCACUCUCUCUCUCUGUGUAGAUCACACAAUCUUAGCUAUGGCUACUGCUACUCUCUCUCCUGUUGAUACCGAUAAGCUCGCUAACCUCAAAUCUGCUGUCGCCAGCCUUAACCAAAUCAGUGAAAAUGAGAAAUCUGGAUUUAUUAACCUUGUCGGUCGCUACCUGAGUGGAGAAGCGCAGCACGUUGAAUGGAGUAAGAUCCAGACGCCAACUGACGAGAUAGUGGUGCCUUAUGACAAUUUAGCACCUCUUUCUGAAGAUCCUGCGGAGACCAAGAAGCUUUUGGACAAACUUGUUGUCCUGAAGCUCAAUGGAGGCUUGGGCACAACCAUGGGAUGCACUGGCCCUAAAUCAGUUAUUGAAGUUCGUAAUGGUUUGACAUUCCUCGACUUGAUUGUCAAGCAAAUUGAGGCCCUCAAUGCCAAGUAUGGAUGCACUGUUCCCCUUCUUUUGAUGAAUUCGUUCAACACUCAUGAUGAUACACUGAAGAUUGUAGAAAAAUAUGCAAACUCAAACAUUGAGAUUCAUACGUUCAAUCAGAGCCAGUACCCUCGCUUGGUUACCGAAGAUUUCUCCCCACUUCCAUGCAAAGGCAAUUCUGGAAAAGAUGGAUGGUACCCUCCAGGUCAUGGUGAUGUUUUCCCUGCUUUGGCGAAUAGUGGAAAGCUUGAUGCACUACUAGCAAAGGGCAAGGAAUAUGUCUUUGUUGCGAACUCAGAUAACUUGGGUGCCAUUGUUGAUUUGAAAAUCCUAAAUCAUUUGAUCCAAAACAAGAACGAGUAUUGCAUGGAGGUUACACCCAAAACUUUAGCUGAUGUCAAAGGUGGCACCCUAAUCUCAUAUGAAGGAAAAGUACAGCUUUUGGAAAUAGCACAAGUGCCUGAUGAACAUGUCAACGAAUUCAAGUCAAUUGAAAAAUUUAAAAUUUUCAACACCAACAACUUGUGGGUGAACCUGAAUGCUAUUAAAAGACUUGUAGAAGCAGAUGCACUCAAGAUGGAGAUUAUUCCCAACCCUAAGGAAGUGGACGGGGUCAAGGUUCUUCAACUUGAAACUGCUGCUGGUGCUGCAAUUAAGUUCUUUGACCGGGCUAUUGGUGUUAAUGUUCCUCGAUCUCGUUUCCUUCCGGUGAAAGCAACUUCAGAUCUGCUGCUUGUCCAGUCUGAUCUUUACACCUUGACUGAUGAAGGCUAUGUCAUCCGGAACCCGGCCAGGUCUAAUCCAUCAAACCCAGCUAUCGAGUUGGGACCUGAAUUCAAGAAGGUGGCCAACUUCUUAGGUCGUUUCAAGUCUAUUCCCAGCAUCAUUGAGCUAGAUAGCUUAAAGGUGACAGGUGAUGUAUGGUUUGGAUCUGGAGUUACUCUGAAGGGGAAAGUAACUGUUGCUGCCAAAUCCGGAGUGAAGCUAGAAAUUCCAGAUGGUGCUGUGAUUGCAAACAAGGAUAUCAAUGGACCUGAGGAUAUAUGAAGGAGCUACUGGUGCUAGAUAGAUUUAGCGAGUCUGCAACGACUGCAGGUAACGGAAGAAACUGAAAGAGGAUAACUGAAGGAUUUAUGAGUCUUGCUGAACUGAACCAGCCACAACUCAGGUGAAUGUUGGAGAUGCUGCUACAACUUUCAAAGACGCACGCGUUCGAGACGAUGACUGUGUAUGUUGGAAUGCCAUUCGGAAGUGUCCCUGAGGGACCUUGGUUUACUAUGAUGUUUUCUUUUGAACAUGAUGUUGUCCCUAUUCUGUACUCACCAGCAUGUCUUUCUUGAGUAGUACUACUUUCCUCAACUGGUUCCAAUGCAUGGUUGACUUGCAUCA